rnacentral:rRNA from 1 species
GACGAACGCUGGCGGCGUGCCUAAUACAUGCAAGUAGAACGCUGAAGAGAGGAGCUUGCUCUUCUUGGAUGAGUUGCGAACGGGUGAGUAACGCGUAGGUACCCUGCCUUGUAGCGGGGGAUAACUAUUGGAAACGAUAGCUAAUACCGCAUAACAAUGGAUGACACAUGUCAUUUAUUUGAAAGGGGCAAUUGCUCCACUACAAGAUGGACCUGCGUUGUAUUAGCUAGUAGGUGAGGUAAUGGCUCACCUAGGCGACGAUACAUAGCCGACCUGAGAGGGUGAUCGGCCACACUGGGACUGAGACACGGCCCAGACUCCUACGGGAGGCAGCAGUAGGGAAUCUUCGGGAACUGGGGCAACACUGACCGAGCAACGCCGCGUGAGUGAAGAAGGUGUGCGGAGCGUAAAGAAUUGUUGUAAGUCAAGAACGGGUGUGAGAGUGGAAAGUUCACACUGUGACGGUAGCUUACCAGAAAGGUACGGCUAACUACGUG